GAAUUGAAAUUCAGGAGAGAACAAGAGAAAGAAACCUUCAGAUUCUAAAAUGCUGAAUGCAAGUUUUUUGAUGGGCAUAAGGGAAAGUAUGUGACUUGUUUAUAUAUUCACAAGGCCAGACAACCAGCUCCCACAAGGCAGGGGUGCAUGAAAGCAAAACCAUGUGAUAGGUGGUUGUGAAAGAUUGUUUGCAAGGUUGGCAUGUUUGAUAAUGAACCCAUCUAGUUGAGCAUAAGCAUGUAAUAUAUACAUCCUUCUGUCUAAUCGUUUACCAGCAAAAAAGAACGGUGGGUCAUGAUCAUAUAUCAUAUGCAAUUUGAACCACAAACAAUGAAGAUAGACUUAUAAGUUGAUUUGAAUCUGGAUCUACUUUUGAUGGGUACAUCUAAUGAAUGCCAUCUCUAUUUACGAAACUCAACUAUCAAUGAAAGUUGGGAAGUUUGUUCAAACUUAGUGCGGUGGCCUUGACAAAUAUGUGGCAGUAGUAGUAGUAAUGUAGGACAAGUUGGACCAAAUAUGUCUUGGAACAGCCAAAGUGACACAUGGAAUUUUGUGGCUCACAUAAGACAUGGAGAUACUUAUAACUUAGUUGGCAGUGUAGAUUUGCAACCAAUGUGGAUGUGGUGCAAUCAUGUGAGUGAAUUUUGGUGGGUUUAGCAAUUUUGCCAUGAUCUUACAAGUGUUGUACAUCAUGUGCAGGUGUUGUUGGUGUGAUUUUAUGUGUUCCAAUAUAUAUUUUCUGUGUUGAAUGGAGCAGAUAUGUUUUCUUAUGUGAUUGUCUGGCUCCUUUUCUAUGGCAAAUCAGUCUGUAUAACCAAAUUAGCUUCCUUGUACCUUGACAUGCUUAUUGAUGGUUAGAGAAUUUUUUCUAUCUGAAAAUUAAGAAGUACAUAAAUGAAAUUGACAUGAAAAG
rnacentral:lncRNA from 1 species